rfam:Salmo salar isolate Sally breed double haploid chromosome ssa06, whole genome shotgun sequence.
UGCAUUCACUACUGUAAGUCGCUCUGGAUAAGAGCAUCUGCCAAAUGACUUAAA